CCUACGGGGGGCUGCAGUGAGGAAUAUUGGUCAAUGGGCGGAAGCCUGAACCAGCCAAGUAGCGUGCAGGAUGACGGCCCUAUGGGUUGUAAACUGCUUUUAUACGGGAAUAAAGCGCGGUACGUGUAGGGUUUUGCAGGUACCGUAUGAAUAAGGACCGGCUAAUUCCGUGCCAGCAGCCGCGGUAAUACGGAGGGUCCGGGCGUUAUCCGGGUGUAUUGGGUUUAAAGGGAGCGUAGGCGGCCGUUAAAGUCAGCGGUAAAGUCGGGGGGCUCAACCGCGGCCCGCCGUUGAAACUGGGCGGCUUGAGUUCGCGAGAGGCAGGCGGAAUUCGUGGUGUAGCGGUGAAAUGCGUAGAUAUCACGAAGAACCCCGAUUGCGAAGGCAGCCUGCCGGGGAGCGACUGACGCUGAGGCUCGAAAGUGCGGGUAUCAAACAGGAUUAGAUACCCGAGUAGUC
rnacentral:rRNA from 1 species